ensembl:lncRNA
AUUGACUUUCCCCCGGGGGGAAGCUGGGUGGUGGCUUGUAGAGUGGCGUCUAGGACAGUUGCCUCACUCUCGCCUCCUGGAAUUACGGGGCUGUGAACGAUGCUCUGCAGGAGCGCAGGGAAUUCUGGGAAUGUGUCAUGGCAGUGCCUGGCUUUGUCUGUCCAUAGAGAUGUCCCUGGGAAGUACGCUGACACUGAGACCUGAAGGCUGGUACUGUUUUCAAAUUCAACCUUUCUGAUGUGGAAAUGCCAGUAGAAGUGAUCAGCAUCUCCAGGGGCUGUGGUGAGCAGACACUCUGAGCUUUGUGUCCGGGACAGUCGUCUGAAGAGCAGAGAUGGACACUCCCUCAGCCCACUGAGAGGUCUUUGUGCUUUCAUGAAAACUGGGAGAUCCUUCUAUGACAAGUGCCUGUCAUCCCAAAGAAGCGCUACAAUCACAGUCUGGUGCAAUGACAGUCUGGCGUGUCCUGGGGUGAGCGCUCAGCCAGCAAACCCUGUGACCCACAGGACAAGUCCCUCCUGGCCAUGUUUUACAAAUAAAGUUUUACUGGCACUCAGCCAAGCUCAUCCAUCGGGGCUAUCUGUGGUAUGUCACACCACAGCAACCAUUGCGACAGAGAAAGUGUGGCCCCAAAGGUUGAAAUAUGUACAGACCGGUCCUUAAGACAAAAACAAAAUGUGUCGGUCCCUGGUCUAGAGCUGAGCUGUCCACAGAUAUCCACUCCAUCUGUGGCUAUUUAAAUUUUAAUAAAUGAAAAUUAAAUAAAGUUAAACCCAGAGCAUUCUUUUCAAUUAAAAACGAGUUUUUUUCAGUUAGUUCAUUUUUAUAUAAUUGAAAAUUUACAGGUAAGCUUGCAAGAAUAGUCAUGGGUACCCUUUACCCAGAUUUCUCAAUGUUAGCAUUUUAUAUAUCCCAGCGUUAUUAUAAACACAGUGCAGCUGAGUCAGAAGCUGAGCAUUGAUUUGCUGCUAACAUUGAUCUGUAGUUCACAACACUGACCUUUUUUGACACAGUCAAGCCAAUUAUUUUCCAGAAUAUCCCUCAGUUUGUGUUUGUCUGAUGUGUCCUUGUGAUUCGAUUGAGGCUGUGGGCUCUUGCCAGGAAUCCCACAGAACUGAUGCUGGGUCCUCAGCGUCUCCUGUUAGGAGGAGGGUGUCGGUCUGUCUCAGAGCUGGUGAUGUUGCUUUGUCAUCUGGUUGAGGUGGCCUCUGCGAGGUGUCUGCAUGUGAAAUUACCAUUCCAUUUUUAUAAUUAUCAAGUAUCUUAUUGGAGCGUCUCUAAGACUGUAAACAUCCUUUUACUCCUUAAUCUGCCACACGAG